rnacentral:rRNA from 1 species
GCAGCAGGCACGCAAAUUACCCACUCCCGGCACGGGGAGGUAGUGACAAAAAAUAACGAUACGGGACUCUUUUGAGGCCCCGUAAUCGGAAUGAGUACACUUUAAAUCCUUUAACAAGGAUCCAUUGGAGGGCAAGUCUGGUGCCAGCAGCCGCGGUAAUUCCAGCUCCAAUAGCGUAUAUUAAAGUUGUUGCGGUUAAAAAGCUCGUAGUUGGUUCUGCGUGCCGCGCUGUCGGUUCGCCGCCUGUCGGUGUAACUGGCAUGUCGCGGCAUGUCCUGUCGGUGGUGAACGGGAUCCCCGGUGCUGUUGAGGCCGUCAGGUCAAAGCAUGUACCGUGUGUGUUUCCGUUUGCCGAUCUCUCCUACUCCGGUGCUCUUAAACGAGUGUCGAGGUAGGCCGACACGUUCACUUUGAACAAAUUAGAGUGCUUAAAGCAGGCUGAAAUAUCUGCCUGAAUAGUGGUGCAUGGAAUGAUAAAACAGGACCUCGGUUCUAUUUUGUUGGUUUUAGGAAUAUGAGGUAAUGAUCAAUGUGGACUGGCGGGGGCAUUCGUAUUGCGACGUUAGAGGUGAAAUUCUUGGAUCGUCGCAAGACGCACUAGAGCGAAAGCAUUUGCCAAGUAUGUCUUAAUUGAUCAAGAACGAAAGUUAGAGGUUCGAAGGCGAUCAGAUACCGCCCUAGUUCUAACCAUAAACGAUGCCAGCCAGCGAUCCGCCGAUGUUCCUUUAAUGACUCGGCGGGGAGCUUCUACUCGGGAAACCAAAGCUUUUGGGUUCCGGGGGAAGUAUGGUUGCAAAGCUGAAACUUAAAGGAAUUGACGGAAGGGCACCACCAGGAGUGGAGCCUGCGGCUUAAUUUGACUCAACACGGGAAACCUCACCAGGCCAGGACAUUGGAAGGAUUGACAGAUUGAUAGCUCUUUCUUGAUUCAGUGGGUAGUGGUGCAUGGCCGUUC